GGAUGCGAUCAUACCAGCACUAAAGCACCGGAUCCCAUCAGAACUCCGCAGUUAAGCGUGCUUGGACGAGAGUAGUACUAGGAUGGGUGGCCUCCUGGGAAGUCCUCGUGUUGCAUCCC
rnacentral:rRNA from 1 species